AGCCUAUGAUGUGAGACUAAUAUUUGCUACUCUUGAUGGGUAAAUCCCAGUUGACGAUCAUAACCACCAAGAUCUCUGAGGCC